rnacentral:miRNA from 1 species
AGUGACCGAUGUUAAAAGUCCUACUUUUAAAAUCGGUUAACAGUGACUGAUGUUAAAAGUGAGACUUUUAAAAUCGGUCAUG